rnacentral:lncRNA from 1 species
GUCAUCUCAUUAGCAUAAAUUCAGUUCAAAAGCCAAAUUCGAUUAAAUCAUAAUGAACAAAUUUAUCAGUGCCUACAAGCAGCCAGAUAUUGGAGGAAAAAAAAAUCAUGUAACUGUGACAACUUGUUUAAUUUUAAUGACCACACACUCAAAUAAGCACUGAGUACGCAGUUCAACAAUGUUACUUAGUUUCCCAUGCGCUAUCUUGAGAAUGCUGUUCUAUGACGCAAGCUUUCCCUCUAG